UGCAGAGUGGGGCGGCGCUGCCGCCUUAAUGCGGGCGAGUCUUUGCCUCGGCGGUCACAACCCCGC
rnacentral:ribozyme from 1 species